GGGGGGGGGGGGUUGGGAGUUGUUUAAUCCUGUUUUGUGGUGGUGGGAGGAGGGGUGUGGAUUAUUCAAGUAAAUAUGGUAAUAUCAAAUAGGGUGUGGUACUCAAAGUUCUUAAAUCUCCACUAGUUUUAACCAGCUACUGAAUUUUAGUUGAUUGUUUCCCACCUCAUGAGGGUUUGGUUUUGCUUUUUUAAGUGAAGCCUACAGAACUAUAACAGAUAAAUACAAUACUUUAAAACACUGAAGGAUAGGUAUAAGCCCAUCAUCACUUGUGAAUGCUAAGAUAGUGGUCUUCAAGUGUGUGUUGUUUUGUUUUUUAAUUGUGUUUUUAUAUGGCAGUUAAGCUUUUCUAUGAAUUCAGUAUUUUGGAUGCAACAGCACUGCAGAGAGAUUCAUGGGUUAUUUUUCCCAUACCUUCAUAGUAGAUUUAUUUCCAACUCAAAUUUUAAAUUCCACCCCACCCCAUCCAAAUUAAUCUUAUACUAGGCAAGCAGAUCAGGGCUGAGGAAUCCCCGAUGAAAGAGCACAUGCCAAAUGCAGAGACUUCCUUAGUCUGACAAAGAGUUUUUAAACCUGAAAGCUUGCUACAGUUUUCCCCCUCCCCCCCAACUAUUUAAGUUGGUCUAAUAAAAGAUACCAGAUUCGCCCAAAGAACCUUGCUUGAAAAGACUCACUGAUUUUAUUUUGACCUUGAAUUGGGCCUUAAAUGUGAUUCCUAAGAUGCCAGACUCCUUUAAGUCUCCCAAUAUAUACUGGUUGGUACUACUAACCAGAAAGCAGCUUUGUUAUUAAAUGUUGUAAAUAAUCACUAGGGGGUAGUGUGCACACAGCACACAUUCAGGCAUCUGUAUUGCUAUUGAAGCCUUCCUCUUAAAAGAGAGACCUGAAAGUUUUUUUCUUUUUCUUUGGAUGGUUAAAGGUAAUAACAAAAGCAAACAAAAAUAACUUCAUCUGUUUAUAAAUUUCAGGAGAAAAAAACAAAAGUAUUAAAUGACUUGAACAUUUGGGUUUUUUAAACAGUAUUAUAUAUUUGAUUUUUAUCUGCAAUGAAAUAUACACAUGCUUUUCCUGUUUUGGAAUCUUAUUUUAACAGUUAGUGAAAAAAGGUUUUUGAUAAACAUGCUUUUAUAGUUUAAGAACCUUCUUGUCCUGGCAUAACUGUCACCCAACCCCUCUUGCUGCAGCCUUAUCCAAAGAGCAAAAUAUGAAGAGAGAAAGGUAUCUAUAGUUCAAUAGAGAAUUAAUUUCCAGAGUGUUACUGGGCCCCUCUUACUACACUGGCAGAUUUUGAAUUUUAUGUAUAUUUAGAGAUGAGUUUAUCAAAUAAAGAUGAAAUACAAAAAAGGUCAACAUUUUACCAAACCAGAGUACUGUGAAUAUACACACACACAUACUCCUCCCUCCCUGCCACACCCUCCAUAACUUCUUCAGCUUCAGCAAUCUUCCUCCAUCAUAUCUUGAGUGGUUCUGUGAUAUUCCACUAUGAUUUAUUCUGUGUUUGUAAAUUAACAGGCAACUGAGCAUCUGGAAGGAAAAAUAAAUUUUAACUUCAUUUGUGAACUACAUUCUUCUUGCUUGCUAUUUUGAUGCUCAUGCUAGAAAUUACUGGCCUUAAUUUUGUGAUGCUAGGUGAAUUGAGUGGUUUGAAAUUUGAGAUUAGUUGAAUGCUCUAUAUAUUGUUUCCUGAAUCUAUUGUCAACAUUUUGGAGCGUUCUUUGAAAGUGUGUAUUCCCUGCCCAUGGCCUGGAAAGUGGUUGGUUAACCUGCAUUCUGCAAAGAGCUCUCUUCCUUUUCUCAGCAAAAUGUUUUUUGGUACCUUUUACAUGCUAAACUUGAGUUACAGAACAAUGCAUUUCUUGCUGUAGUGUGUGUGUGUGUGUGUGUGUAACACCUUGUCCUGUGGGAGGUAAAACAAUUGGGUAGAAAGCUUAAAUCAGAAAAAUCUUUUUACUGAAGAUGCUUACAUGUCUCCUGCUGAUCUUGGUGUAUUCUAUCACUUUUAGUAGUAGUGACUUGCUACUAGAUUCUUAUUUGACCUGGCCUCGAUAUUAUCUGCUUAAUUUCUUAAAGCUAUGAGAUUUCUUUUUAACAGACCAUCUUCAACCAGCAUUUAUUUUCUCUCUCUCUCUCUCUCUUCUCUCUCCCCCCCCCCCCCAUGCCCUCUCUGCAGCCCAAAUUGGAACCAGUGAGGGAUUUGUGGGAUAGUGUAAAUUAAAAGUCUCUAUCAGCUGGUCAAUAGCCCCUGCUAAAGCUACAUGCUCUGAGGCACUACGCUAGUACAUGAGAAGCAAGAAAAUAAACACUGUAAAAAGGGAAACUUAUAGUGGAAUUAGAUUGUUCAACCUGAUUGUUGUCGAAGCCAUAAUAAUGUGCUCACUGCUGUAUGGAACCAGUUAAAACAGUGUCCAUUUGGAAAAACUUUAAAAUAUAUGCUGAUGAUCUCUAUUGUGGUUGUAUGAUUGCAUCUAAGCACCUUGUUACAGGUAAGAAUUUUUUUAAUAUCCAUUUCACAGCACACAGAAAGGCUAAGAGGAGAGCAUUUUAAAACUAUAAAAUAGAUUGCAAUUCAAUGAACAUCAGGUUUCUAAGUCAUUUUGAAAAUCCUAGGCUCACUGACUUGCCCAAGGUCAUGUAAGACAUGUGUGGUAGUCUUAACUGCAAACCAGCUUCAGUUGACCCUUUUCUUCUCUAACCCUUAGAUUUCUACACAUUUCCUUGAGGAACAUUCAAACAAGUAUAUUUCUGUGGAGUUACAGUAGUCCUUUUUUGACUUUAGAUCCUUAUUAAAGUUCUGCUAGUCCCAAUGCUCGUAUCAAGUGCCAGGGUUGAGGUUGUUAAAUAUAUAUGUGGCCUUUUAGAAUGAUCGCCUCUACAAAUACAGCACUGUACUGUAUUGGUAAAUAACUCUCCCCUGUAUUGUGUCAGUUCAAUUGGUGCUCAGUGAUACUUUGAAUAGUGCUGCCAGUUCAGUUCAUUGCAGCUACCUCUAAGAAGAGUAACUGUUGUGCUGGUACAAGUAGUUUAGGGGGUGACUCACUUCUUUGUGUCAUUAAGGAUUUGUUUAGAGGUGAUGAAGUGCACAAUUACCUGUGACAGCCCUUUUGACCAUGACCUCUUGCAGAGAAAGUUUGAUAGCUGCCUUGGGGACCAAAUAGUAGAUUCUGUAAAGUACUCUCCACAGAGUUUGCAAAGCAUCCAACAAUGUCUUCUCCAGCCAAUUCCACCUGAAAAUCUACAGGAGCAAGCACCGCCUGCUUGUUGGUGGAGAUGCUCAAAUGAAAGCAGAUCAGAUUCUCAAAGAGUUGAUGCAAGGCACUCAGUUAACCAGCAGAGGACUGUAGAACCACAUGCCAUAGUUAUUCAUGCAAAUAUGCCCAAUCACAAAGAAAUGAGAGGGUGGAGGGGAACACACACGGCAGACCACAGUGUAGUGAAUAAAUUCUGUAAACUAUGAUAAAACACUGAGAAGCAAGAUCCACCCUCUUUGUUUUUCUCCUUAUUAGAGAGUUUAAUUUGCCCCAAUUCACCCUCCCCAAUGAGGAUUUAUGGGAAUUUUGUUUACAUCUUGAAGAGGGUUGUCAAGAGCACUUCACACGUGAAGUAUUCUAAACCCUUUGGGGGAAUCACCACACUGCACUGAUAUAGAAAUGGUGGCGCGGUCCCCUAAGGAAAGCAUACUUCAUUUGUAAUGAACAUUAUGUCUGCAGAAACUAAUGGCAGAGCCUCCUAUUCAGUUUAUGUAAAAUAAAAUAGGCCAUAUGUUGCUGCUUUUAGAGUUUGGGUAUUUAAAUUAAAUGUUGUUUAAUGAAUAUUCAAGCCCAUUUGCUCAAAAGUUGUGCUCAAUGUGGCUGUUUUUUCCUUUUCCCCUUCCCACCCCCACUCUUUACCUAGUGUAUCAAGUCAUUACAUCAGGGUGCUAAAAACUAGGCAUCUGUCUCUAACUAGAAUUUGGAUAUUAAAACUCUAGAGCAGAUGAGAGGAUAAAUAAAGACAUACAGUAAAGGGAUCAUAUUAUUUUUGUUUUGUAAUUAAGACUGAGAAGGGUUUGACAUGCAUGACACUCUCUUAAGAAACAGGAACAUUCACUAUUGUUUCAACAGCUGGGGUUUUGGAUAUGUUGUAGUGGCAUGCUCAUUCCACUCCAUAUUACCUACAGGUAUAUCACUCCUUUUGUUAUCAACACCAAGAACCAAAUACUGGCUUGUGUGGUUACUUUUGACUUGGAUAGGACCUCAAUGUUGCAUACUGCUGAAUACAUACAGUCUUAUCAGCAUUACCUUACCUAGGCCUUUUAGAUUUGAAAGCUCUUCAGCAUAUGCUUAAAUUCUGGUCUAUUCUUCUUAAUUUAAGCAUGUAUUUAUUUUUUUUUUUCCCAAAUGGGAGGGGUAGGAAGGGAGGGGAGCCCAAGUCCUGAAAUGAACCCUCUUUCCUUUUGUUUAAAUAGCAUGAAAAUAUUCUCAUUACAAGACAGCUGUAUUGUAAAUGCAAAUCACCAAUGAUUGCCUUUCACAUGUUUUCAUGAGGGUUCUUGAGAUGCUUGUUUUUACUGCACAAGUGCUAUGCUAUUGUAGAAAUAAGGUGAAGCCCUCUUUAAGUGAA